GCCGGGUGUGGUGGCACAUGCCUGUAGUCCCAUCUACUUGGGAGGCUGAGAUGGGAGGAUCACCUGAGCCUGGGAAAGUCGAGGCUGCAGUGAGCUGAAAUCACAUCACUGCACUCCAGCCUGAGCAACAAGGUGAGACCCUGUCUCAA
ensembl:misc_RNA Metazoa_SRP Metazoan signal recognition particle RNA